UACGGAGGGUGCAAGCGUUGUUCGGAAUCAUUGGGCGUAAAGCGCGUGUAGGCGGUUCGCUAAGUCUGGUGUGAAAGCCCGGGGCUUAACCCCGGAAGUGCAUUGGAUACUGGCUUACUAGAGGACGGAAGAGGGAAGCGGAAUUCCUGGUGUAGGAGUGAAAUCCGUAGAUAUCAGGAGGAACAUCGGUGGCGAAGGCGGCUUCCUGGCCCGUAACUGACGCUGAGACGCGAAAGCGUGGGGAG
rnacentral:rRNA from 1 species